GAAAGUUCCGGCGGUACAGGAUGAGUCUGCAUCUGAUUAGCUAGUUGGUGGUGUAAUGGACUACCAAGGCGACGAUCAGUAGCUGGUUUGAGAGGAUGAUCAGCCACAAUGGGACUGAGACACGGCCCAUACUCCUACGGGAGGCAGCAGUAGGGAAUUUUGCGCAAUGGGCGAAAGCCUGACGCAGCAACGCCGCGUGAUCGAGACGCCCUUCGGGGUGUAAAGAUCUGUCAGUGGGGACGAAACUUGACGGUACCCACAGAGGAAGCACCGGCUAACUCCGUGCCAGCAGCCGCGGUAAUACGGGGGGUGCAAGCGUUGUCCGGAAUCAUUGGGCGUAAAGAGUUCGUAGGCGGCACGUAAAGUCUGGUGUUAAAGGCAGAGGCUCAACUUCUGUACGGCACUGGAUACUUGCGAGCUAGAAUGCGGUAGAGGUAAAGGGAAUUCCUGGUGUAGCGGUGAAAUGCUUAGAUAUCAGGAGGAACAUCGGUGGCGUAAGCGCUUUACUGGGCCGUAAUUGACGCUGAGGAACGAAAGCCAGGGUAGCAAAUGGGAUUAGAUACCCCAGUAGUCCUGGCCGUAAACGAUGGAUACUAGGUGUUGCGGGUAUCGACCCCUGCA
rnacentral:rRNA from 1 species